CAACUAACCAAGAAGGUGUAGAGCUACGAACCCUUACUUCCUAUGAUGCAACUCCGAGAUUAAUUCUCGUCUUAAUCAACUAUCAACAAACUGUCCUGAGCCUGAAAAAUGGAUAGGAAGAGGGGUGAGAUUAAAUAAUCCCAGUGAGUAAACAAUUACCAUCAAAAGCAUCUAAAGCCAAGUAGAUGGAGACAAUAUAAAAACAUUAUAUAUCAAUAAUGUUCAUAACGCAAAAUUUGUUUCAAUCUAUACCAAACAAUUUAUUUUCAUCAAAAUUUCCCGGCUUAUGAAUUUCUUAAACUUGGCCCUUGCCAGAAUCAUUCUCGUGGGUACCUUCGUCAAUGUAUCCCACUGAGACCGCCAAGGCUGUUCAAUGACCCAUACCCAUAAACAUGUUUUCACAUCUGACACACAGUCGUUCCUUGGCGUUGGCUGAGUCUCACUCUCACGUGGUGGCUUGAACGUGAGGUGCACUCAAAUCAUACCUCAGGAGAUACUUCACCCAACAUCUCCCCCCGGAGGUAAGUAUAUAAUUGAGUUACCGUGCCCCUCUCAUAGGCAGUCGACGGAAACCCCUACCACUGCAGUGACCGUUUAAUAUACCACCAGACCCAUAAAAAUUUCAGUAGCAUAAUAUGACGAAUAAAAUGUAAUCCAGUCUACCGAGACCAAGCCAAAACUGUUCAUAUAUUUCAUGCCAACCUAAAAAAUUUAGCCAUCAUGCUACCAUAGUGUCAUAAGCCACAAUUUCAAUAACAUAUAAAAUCAUAAAUUUCAACACAGUCUCCAUAUACUCAAUUUUUCCCAAAACAAUAUUUGAUUUCAAAACCAGUAUAAAUCUAAUUUUUAUUAAAAAAAAUAUUUUAAUUGGAAAACAUAAUAUUUUAUAAUUUAAACUCACCAUUCAAUAAAAGCAUCAAAUAAGUAUAAUUACUCUAGAUAUUUAAGACAAUAAAUUGUCCACUCACAGUUCUAGGAGUCGAUGUACUCCUAAUCCCAGUUUUCAAAUACAAUCUCUGUACUUUUACCAGUGUAAUUUGCUCACCACCUAUCCAUAAUGUACAAUACAUAAUUCACCACAUCAAUGCUUGACCAUUAUAAAAUCAAUUCAGGCUCGGUAUAUAUGCAUGAUAUGACAUGCAACUUAUCCGACUACUGCUUAAAUGCGGUGCUGACCUAAUUCGGCCUAUUACCCGAUUAAAUCGAUAUACGCGUCUGUUUAAACUCCAAAUUAAUUUUUUUCAGUUCUAUACCUCAAUUGCACCCAAAUUGACUUAAUGUCCCUCAGUGUGGUGCAAAUUAUCAGUCCCGAUAGUAAAUUACGAAAAUACACCUAAUGGGUAAAAAUUCGUAUUUUUGCUCUGAAAAUUUUCAUUAUUUUUCUAGACUCAUAAUUCAUCAUUAUUCAUCAUAAUUCCUCAAAUAAACAUCAAGAUCAUCAGCCAAUAUUUCCCUAGAAAAUUCGGCCAAUAAUGGUAAUGGAGGAAAAUAAAUUAUUUUCUUAUUGUUUUGUUCCUAAAUAUACUAAACUAACUUAAAACACUAACAUAACUUAAAAUCAAAUUAAUCUAACAAGUUUCUCUCUCCUAACCCAUUUUUUCAGAAUUGAAUUCAUCCUCAAAUCACAUGAUUCAACCAUGGAAAUGAUAAAUCCUAAGCUAAGCUUGAAAAAUCAUACCUUUAAACACCUGAUUCCUUGAAAAAUCACACUUUUUCUUUGAAUUUUCUCACUCUAGGGUUUGUUCUUAUUUCUUUCUCUCUCCUGCUGGUUUUGGC
rnacentral:lncRNA from 1 species